rnacentral:rRNA from 1 species
UACGGAGGGGGCUAGCGUUGUUCGGAAUUACGGGGCGUAAAGCGCACGUAGGCGGCUUUGUAAGUUAGAGGUGAAAGCCCAGGGCUCAACCCUGGAAUUGCCUUUAAGACUGCAUCGCUUGAACAUCGGAGAGGUAAGUGGAAUUCCGAGUGUAGAGGUGAAAUUCGUAGAUAUUCGGAAGAACACCAGUGGCGAAGGCGACUUACUGGACGAUUGUUGACGCUGAGGUGCGAAAGCGUGGGGAGCAAACAGG